GCUCACACACACACCGCUCUCCUGCGCUCUCCUCCGUUGGAGCGCCGCCUCCAACCCUCGCCACGGAGCGGCGCGCGGCGUCAUCCCCCCGAUUGGAAGCAACCCCCGAUGGCGGUAUCCUCCGAUUGGCGCUUGAAGCGGGAACAGGGAGAGACACUUGAAGAAAUGGCGCAUUCAAACGGUAACAUCGAGGGCGCUGUGUCGCGAACCAAUGUGGCGACCCUGUGGCAAUCUAGGAAAUUUACCAUCGUUACCAACUUCGCCAAAAGUCAUUACAAUGCAGCGACAUCUGAUUAAGUACGAUAAAAAUAUUUACUUGUCGACAUUGGUAACAUAUCGAUUGAAAAACUUUAUUUUCGACCGUCGGUUCUCGAAAAUCUAAUUUUUUCUUUUUUUAAUCUAUUAAAAUUUUGUUUAUUAAUAUAUUGUACUAUUAUUAAUUAUAUUUUGUAAUAUAUCACGUUUUCACAUAUAUCUUUCGCAAAUUUUUAUUUGUCAUCUAUUGUUACAUACAUAUACUACUGAAUACGAAAUAAGAAAUUCUCUGAUACGUAUUGUUACAUGUUUGUUCAUAUUUGGUACCGCAUAAUUACACUUUAAUAGAAUAAUAUUACUUUCACCAGUUUCUUGUAGCAUUCUAUAUCUUUCAAAGAUAGCCAACCUUUUUAUAUUACAUAUUGUGGACAAAUGGCACAAAAAUUUCAAAUCUAAUUGCUAUAUCUAGAUCAGCCUGAUUCAGUAUGAUUGUCGGUGCUCUUGAUACACUUUGUAUGACGAUUCUGUCUUAUACAACAAGAAGAUAAGUUUUUGUUUGUCAAACUCUACAUGCCUAAUAUAGCUUGGCCAUCUUUGUGAUGUAUUUGUAAUUGUGAUGUAUUUGUAAUUGUGAAGACAUUUAACAUAUAAGUUUAUAGAUAUAAACCUGAGAAGAGAUUAUUUUUAAAUGUAUAAGAGUACUGUCAUGAAAAAAAUACAAUGUGACUCUUGAAUAUAUAGAGAAGUAGAAAAAUAUAUGUCACAGGAAAGUGAUUGGGAUAUUCAGUUAAAAACUCUGAACGAGAGCACUAAAGUUAUAAUACAGCUUUGUCUUCUGAAGAAUUCCACCGUUUAAAGUGGAAAAUAUCACACAUUCUGUUGUUCUAAUAUAUCUCUAACUUCACAGAGAAGAGAUAAAACUUGACAGAUGACAGAGAUAUAAAUAUAGCAACAUUUAUAUUACAUAUUCUGUUUGUAUCUUUCUCUUUUUGUAGUGUUCUAAUUUGACUUCCCAUUGAAAAAAAUAAAAAAAUUAAAAUAAGAACAUUUUUCUAUUUGUAAAGGAACUUUUGAGUUUGAACUAUGGACAAUAUGGAAGUAAAAGAGAGCAGCGGCUGUAUUAAUGCAGAAUCACAUCAACGUUAAAUAUCACAUUACAAUAUCUGCUUCAGAAGCAUAUUGCAGUUCAAAGAUAAUUAAUAUAAAUUAUGAGUUUCAAAACAUAUAUAACUUUUUAAGAAUAAUUAAUAUAAUAGAUUAUUACAUUUGAAUAAUAUAAAGUAAUGUGGCACUUGUUAAAGGAACAUCGACUUCUUUACAAAAUGCAAAUAGUGUUCAAAAGAGGCUCUUGAAAUAUGUAAUUUAAAAAAAAAGAAAUGUUUUGAAUAUAUUUUAACACAAAAAAA